AAAUAGUAUAUGGUUCAGGGCUUGGCCGCACAAGAUAGGAUUUUUUCUUUGGCAGGUCUAUCGCAAAAAGAUUGCAACAAUGGACAUGGAAAUUCUUCGCAAGAAAACGUACUUUGAUAGUCAAUGGUUGUCUCUCUUGCUGCAAAACAGGACGGAGGUUCUAAAACUUGACAGCCGCUGGUCAUGUGCUUUGGAUGAUCCUUCCAGCAGCAAUCUCAUGGACAAUCUGGAGGCAUCGGAACAAGCUUGUCUUUGAAAACGUAUUUUUCAGUGUGGAAAAGUUAUAAAACAAAUCAAAACUCAAGCUUUUUAUAGGUGCAAAAACCAUGAAGCUAUGCAAGGAAUUCAGCUUGAUAGUGUUGUGUCCAGUGAAGACAAUUCUAUGUAUAUUAAGUAGUUCUGUUUUCUUUCGGGUUUUGGGGUUCUAGGGGUUGAGCCUGUAUUCAAUCUCUGUGUGAUGUGGGUUUAUGUUUUUUGCCUCAAUCUAAUUCUUGCUUUUGCAGAGGGAGAAAAAAGAAGAUAAUUUCGGUCCACACUAUUUGGUCAACUAUUCAUUUUUACUGAAGGUAAAUUCGGUCAAUUAUUUGUAAUUUGUGAUAUAUACGCUUAUAGUUCGUUUUA